rnacentral:misc_RNA from 1 species
GAACCAAAAAAAAAAGAAAAAGAAAAAUUGCUGUUAUUUUUCAGAGGCAUCGCCUUUAACUCCUCACGCCUCUCGCCAUGGAGCCUAUGGCGCUCCCUUGUGGGAUGCCAACUUGCCUCAGCCAGGCAAGGUGCCAGGGGAUCUCCUUGCCUCGCCCGGCGCCUUUCCUCUCCUUUGAUAACACUGCAUGAGGGUAAUGUUUAUAUGUAAAUUAAUGAUGCUUACAAUUUUUAAGAUGAUACAGUUACCAUAUUGUUUGAAUCAAUAUUCAAUUGCCUUAAAUGGCUUGUAUUUUAUAUAAUCAACAUACACAAAUAUAAUGUUUGUUUCUAUUACUAUUUUUGCUCAAUAAACUGUUUUUCUUUCAUUCAGUUUAAUAUUUAUAUAGGUUUAUGCUAAAGAGCAUGGAUAAUACUGGAAAGAGUUAACCUUUUUUUUUUUCUUUUUCAAAUGGAAACAUCAGUUAAAUGAAAUUUGGGUCAAUCAAGAUAACUGUUAUUAUUAAUAAUAUAAGGCCAAAAUUCUGUAGUUGCACUAAAGAUGGAAUGUGGACAUAUAUAAUGCUGUUAAGUUGUGUCUGUACACCUCAUUUGGGAGCAUCAAUGUUAAAGUUUACUGGCUUUUAUUUCCAAGUGUGGAUUAAUCUUCUUUUCUGAUGAUGGCAUGAGUCUUUAUAAUUUUAUUCCAAUUACAAGUUAAAGUCCCCUUUUUCCUUCGUAUGAUUGUAACGCAUCGUUGGUCCAAAUGGAGCUAUAAGCACUUCUACUUUAUUGAGCCAAUCCUUAUAGACUUGGGGGAUUAAAUUCAUAUUUUUCCAGGUCAUCUCUCACUUGUAUUCACUUACUGUUGUUGCAUAUAAAUUGAAAACUAGAUUUGAGGCGUUAAGUCUAUAAAGUUAUGAAAUACAUUAUAAUAGAUAGAUGUAUUCACUUAACUUUUAUUUCUCUCUCUCUCCUGUCCUUUCGCUUUCUGUGAAGAUAUGAAAUGUAUUGUGUUCUACUUCCAAAGGUCCAUAAAGCAACUUACAUGAUAGGUAGAUUUGCUUUGCAUCAUUCAACAAAUUUUGUAAACCACUCAUGUUGUAGAGGCACAUUAAUUUCUGAAGAUGUACAUUCUAUAGCUUGCAAUAACAAGUUUUAUUUCUUUCCCUCAUAUUUUUAGUUGUAGGGGUGGGGUGGGGAGGAAUGAGUUUUCUUUGUGAUCUUCUUUUGUCUUGGAUCUUUUGAACUAGAUAAUGAUAGGACCUGAAUAUUAAUUAUCAACAGUUUUCUUUGUGAUCUUCUUCCAGAUUGCCAGGGUGUUGCAUCUG